GGGGAGCCGGCUCCUGGCCUUGCUGACAGCUUCUGCCAGCCAGCCUGGCACGGGCUGGGGCGGGGUCAGCCAGCCUGACAAAGCAUCCAUCCAUGUGGAUGGGGGCAGCAGAGGGGGACGGGUUCCGAAGCCGUGCCCCAGCUGGUCUGCUUUGCAGGCCCUCGAGGAAGGGGUGCGUUUACGGGCGGGAAAGGUGGGGUUUUUCCCCACCCGUGGACAGGUUUCAUUCUCGCAUGGAGUGGUCAGACCCUCCUCAGGCCCGUGAAACGGUGACAGGCUUUGUAGCUUCUUCUUGUUUCCAGGUCUUGUUUUGAAUUGACUUUCAUGCAAUUGUUCUUUAUUUUCCCAGGAAGAUUACACCUGGUGCCCGGACCGCAUGGGGAAGCGCCUGCACCGUCCGUGGAGCACAUCCAGUGCCAGCGCUACCCCAGGGGCCACGGCCUGCGGGGACAUCCCCUUCAAGAAGGGCGAGGACCUCGUGUGGGAUCGGCUCCUCUCCUGGCAGCAGGUCUGCAGAGGCUGCCAGCACCUCAUGCCAUGGAAACGGCUCCGCUCGGCCUGCCAGGCUGGGAGGGCUGGAGGGCGGCGGGUGUUCAUUUGCUGUCAAAAAGAAAUCAUUCUAUUGUUUUGU